rnacentral:rRNA from 1 species
GAUGAACGCUGGCGGCGUGCUUAACACAUGCAAGUCGAGCGAGAUUAUUCUUCGGAAUAGUCUAGCGGCGGACGGGUGAGUAACACGUGGGCAACCUGCCUUGUAGAGGGGGAUAGCCUUCCGAAAGGAAGAUUAAUACCGCAUAGUGUUAUUGAAAGGCAUCUUUCGAUAAUCAAAGGAGCAAUCCGCUACAAGAUGGGCCGGCGGCGCAUUAGCUAGUUGGUGAGGUAACGGCUCACGAAGGCGACGAUGCGUAGCCGACCUGGGAGGGUGAUCGGCCACAUUGGGACUGAGACACGGCCCAGACUCCUACGGGAGGCAGCAGUGGGGAAUAUUGCACUAUGGGGGAAACCCUGAUGCAGCAACGCCGCGUGAGUGAUGACGGCCUUCGGGUUGUAAAGCUCUGUCUUUGGGGACGAUAAUGACGGUACCCAAGGAGGAAGUCACGGCUAACUACGUGCCAGCCGCCGCCGUAA